CACAUCAUUUACAGUUACAAAAAUCGGCCUUGAGUACAGGGUUCCUGUAGGGUAGUCUUAAGUCCUAAGAGGCACCAAGCGGAGAAGCUGAUCAAUAGAGGAGUAUGGAAGCCACACCAUUGGGGCUGUUGCGGACAGUGGAAACUAAAAGGAAAAUGUUUAUUUACCUAGACUCCUUAGUAGUGAUGACAGAUGAGAGCUGAUUGGCUGCUAGCCAGGCCCAGGCUUCUGCUUGUGCUGCCUCUCCUCCAAAUUGCAAUUUGAUGCAUCUGGAAUGAAAAUGGU
rnacentral:lncRNA from 1 species